rnacentral:rRNA from 1 species
ACGAGGAACAAUUGGAAGGCCAAGUCUGGUGCCAGCAGCCGCGGUAAUUCCAAGCUCCAAUAGGGUAUAUUAAAGUUGUUGUGGUUAAAAAGCUCGUAGUUGAACCUUGGGCCGGGCUGGCCGGUCCGCCUCACCGCGUGUACUGGUCCGGCCGGGCCUUCCCCUCUGUGGAACCCCAUGCCCUUCACUGGGUGUGGCGGGGAAACAGGACUUUUACUGUGAAAAAAUUAGAGUGCUCCAGGCAGGCCUAUGCUCGAAUACAUUAGCAUGGAAUAAUAGAAUAGGACGUGUGGUUCUAUUUUGUUGGUUUCUAGGACCGCCGUAAUGAUUAAUAGGGACAGUCGGGGGCAUCAGUAUUCAAUUGUCAGAGGUGAAAUUCUUGGAUUUAUUGAAGACUAACUACUGCGAAAGCAUUUGCCAAGGAUGUUUUCAUUAAUCAGGAACGAAAGUUAGGGGAUCGAAGACGAUCAGAUACCGUCGUAGUCUUAACCAUAAACUAUGCCGACUAGGGAUCGGACGGUGUUAUUUUUUGACCCGUUCGGCACCUUACGAGAAAUCAAAGUGCUUGGGCUCCAGGGGGAGUAUGGUCGCAAGGCUGAAACUUAAAGAAAUUGACGGAAGGGCACCACCAGGGGUGGAGCCUGCGGCUUAAUUUGACUCAACACGGGGAAACUCACCAGGUCCAGACACAAUGAGGAUUGACAGAUUGAGAGCUCUUUCUUGAUUUUGUGGGUGGUGGUGCAUGGCCGUUCUUAGUUGGUGGAGUGAUUUGUCUGCUUAAUUGCGAUAACGAACGAGACCU